AUUUACCUAAACCCGCCAAAGAACUACGAGCGCAAGCUUAAAACUUAAAGGACUUGACGGUGUCCCAUCUACCUAGAGGAGCCUGUUCUAUAAUCGAUAAUCCUCGUUACACCUUACCUUUUUUAGCUAAUCAGUCUGUAUACUUCCGUCGUAAGCUUACCAUAUGAAUGCAUUAGUAAGUUAAAUAGUAAUAACAUUACCAAAACGUCAGGUCAAAGUGCAGCCUACAAAAAGGAAGAAAUGGGCUACAAUUUCUAUAUAAGAACAAACGAAUUUAAGUAAUUGAAAACUACUAUGAAGGCGGAUU
rnacentral:rRNA from 1 species